rnacentral:lncRNA from 1 species
GAACGUAAAUGGCGCUCCUCCGCGCCGCAGCCGCAGCCGCCCCGCUCCCUUCCCGCUCCGCCAGCUGCCGCCCUCCCGCGCUCGCUUCUCGCCCCGCGGCCUGGCCCGUGCGCCUCCGAGGCUGGCCAGGGGCACCGAGGCCGCGGGCCCCCCAUCGCCCCCACCCGAGCCCUGAUUUACCGUCCGAGAGCCGGCGGCACAUGGGACCCCGAGAGGAGAAGCGCGCCUGCCCCAGUGCGUCCCCAGGCGGGGGAGCCCCGACUCCUGGAGGGACCGCGUCCUGCCCGGCCCGGGAAGUUCAGGGCUGGAGAACCCCUUCCCCGACCCCAUUUCUCUUUUAACAAGAGUAGGGUUUGUAGCUAACCAACGUCCUGACAGCUCAGCUCUGCUUUCCCUUUAAGCAUUAAUAUCAAAGCCCUGCCUGCUACCGGUGAAGCCCCGACCCGGGAGGGCCCGAAAGUCCCUUCAGGGAGAGGCCGCACUGGGCCUGCUCACCCAGGGGCUGCCCCUGCAGACUCUCCCGAGGGGCCCAGGGAUAUUCCUCGCGCCGCGAGUGGACGCUUCCAUCCACCCCAUGGGGAGGGCCUCUGCGCGUGGCUACUCUGAGCCCUCUGGAAUGCCGAGAUAGUUGCAUAAUUUCAGAAACCACGGCAUGGAGACGGAAUGAUGCAGACUCCUAUCCGCGAGAUACCUGCUGUAAUUUCGCUGUGGUUCGUGAGGACGCGUCCUGGGCUGCCCUGAGAAGCCUACGUCUCCCCUUCGAGGCCCGGGAAGACCUCCAACCCCGCUGACAAUGCUGGGCCCUCAGCCAGACCUGCCCUGCGUGCCACGUUCUGUUCUAAGAUCGGGCUGCCGAGCUGUGGCCUGGAGGAAACCUGGCAGGUGGGGCUGCCAUGAGCAGCAAGCUCAGUCCAGAAGAACAGUUCCUCUCCAGGAUCCACUUCCUGCGCACUUUUAUGUGCAGUGUAGCUGGAGCAGAGCUCCCCGGAAUUCCACAGGCAACUGAGAACGGAGAGGGAUGCAGGCCAGCCAGGGAUCCAGCGUCUUCCCCAUCGUCACUCUCCAUGGCCUCCGUCUACACACAGUGUUCGUCUGCACAGCUUGUCAGCGCGUUAUCAUGACUUCUAUUUGGCACCGGCCCGUCUGUCCACUGUCCUGGCUUGUUCCAAGCGCU